rnacentral:rRNA from 1 species
GACGAACGCUGGCGGCGUGCUUAACACAUGCAAGUCGAACGGAAAGGCCCUGCUUUUGUGGGGUGCUCGAGUGGCGAACGGGUGAGUAACAAGUGAGUAACCUGCCCUUGACUGUGGGAUAACUUCAGGAAACUGGGGCUAAUACCGGAUCGGAGCUCCUGCUGCAUGGUGGGGGUUGGAAAGGUUCGGCGGUUGGGGAUGGACUCGCGGCUUAUCAGCUUGUUGGUGGGGUAGUGGCUUACCAAGGCUUUGACGGGUAGCCGGCCUGAGAGGGUGACCGGCCCCAUUGGGACUGAGAUACGGCCCAGACUCCUACGGGCGGCAGCAGUGGGGAAUAUUGCACAAUGGGCGGAAGCCUGAUGCAGCAACGCCGCGUGCGGGAUGACGGCCUUCGGGUUGUAAACCGCUUUCGCCUGUGACGAAGCGUGAGUGACGGUAAUGGGUAAAGAAGCACCGGCUAACUACGUG